GGGGUUGUGGCUCAGUGGUAGAGUGCUUGCCUAGCAUGCAUGAGGCACUGGGUUCGAUUCCUGACCUCA
rnacentral:tRNA from 1 species